UACGCCAGCUCAUAGUGACUCAAUGUAGCUCGUAUAAUCUUUUCAUUACAUGGGAUUAGAGUGCGCGGUAAACAGUUGAUUGGGACUCACGGGGAAAACCAGGUAAUCGCCGCGCGCGGUUCCGUAGAAAAGGACCAGCGAACUUUGAUCUCUCUCCAAACCCGCCAACCCCCGCCGCUCUCGAACAUCUUUGAGACGAGCCGACAGAUGGACUGCUCUUUCCUCUGCAGCUAACAAAUGCAAAUAUUCGUUUUUGUUUCUGCACGUGGAACCAGAAGCCAGAUUUACUCUGCAGCCUUCUGCCCUGUCAGGUGUCAGCAUGUGUCUGCUUGCAGAAGGAAGGACUGCAUCCUGCCCGAGACUCGAGAUACUGUACUUCACCCCCCCUGUGUGACCUCCACCCGAGAGACUUCGAACGCCAGAGAACAACGCUCCAAGAACAUUGCUGCAGUUUUUUUUUUCCCGGGUGAUGAGGUUGAAGACUGUUGAAGUGUGUGCGUCAGCGCCCCCAUGUGGCUCUCGCCCAACACAGCAGAAUGUACCGCGAACACAAAUCUGUCACAAUAUUCUAAAAAUGAAUUAAUUGGGCGAGGUAUUUGCCGUCGCCUUUGUCAACCCCUCAGCCUUUCAGAACGCGGUGUUCAGGGGCUUACAAUAACAAAAACAACGCUUGAUGCGAUUCAGAAUAUUUGUUUAUAAUCAAAUUCCGUUCACGAUUCUAUUUGCGGACUUGGCCUUGGCUUUUUCCCCGGGUCUGCCAGGCCAUCAAUCAUCUGAUGCUCCCGAGUUCCCCCCUCUGAAAAAGGACGGCGCGUCGGUGACUGGGAACCGGCGAUAACGAUCUUUUCACCGUGAAGCUGACGGUCAUAAUCAACACUGCCUCCACUCCCGUUAGCUUCCCUGCCUACUGCGUAUCUGGCCAACCUUCACGAGCCGAGAUGAGUAAUGUGCCGAUAGACACAACGCGGCUGCUUCUUAAUUAAUUACGUCUUACCAAGCAUUUAUAGGCGGAGGCUAAUUGUUGUGGAAAAUAAUCGUAUUUUAUUUAAGUCUGAUUAUGUGCCUGGAUAAUCCAUGCUAAUUUGAAGUUCAUGUCCUAAUUAAGGAAGACUGA